UACGGAGGGUGCGAGCGUUGUCCGGAAUCAUUGGGCGUAAAGGGCGCGUAGGUGGCCCGGUCAGUUCGUGGUGAAAGCGCGGGGCUCAACCCUGCGUCGGCCAUGAAUACUGCCGCGGCUGGAGCACUGUAGAGGCAGGCGGAAUUCCGGGUGUAGCGGUGGAAUGCGUAGAUAUCCUGAGGAACACCGGUGGCGAAAGCGGCGCGCUGGACCUCUUCUGACGCUGAGGCGCGAAAGCCAGGGGAGCGAACGGG
rnacentral:rRNA from 1 species